AUUGAACGCUGGCGGCAUGCUUUACACAUGCAAGUCGAACGGUAACAGGGUGCUUGCACCUCUGACGAGUGGCGAACGGGUGAGUAAUGCAUCGGAAUGUACCGUGUAAUGGGGGAUAGCUCGGCGAAAGCCGGAUUAAUACCGCAUACGCCCUGAGGGGGAAAGUGGUGGACCGAAAGGCCUCACGUUAUACGAGCAGCCGAUGUCUGAUUAGCUAGUUGGUGAGGUAAAGGCUCACCAAGGCGUCGAUCAGUAGCAGGUCUGAGAGGAUGAUCCGCCACACUGGGACUGAGACACGGCCCAGACUCCUACGGGAGGCAGCAGUGGGGAAUUUUGGACAAUGGGCGCAAGCCUGAUCCAGCCAUGCCGCGUGUCUGAAGAAGGCCUUCGGGUUGUAAAGGACUUUUGUCCGGGAGCAAAUCCUAGUGGUUAAUACCUACUGGGGCUGAGAGUACCGGAAGAAUAAGCACCGGCUAACUACGUG
rnacentral:rRNA from 1 species